UCUUGGUCAUUUAGAGGAAGUAAAAGUCGUAACAAGGUCUCCGUUGGUGAACCAGCGGAGGGAUCAUUACCGAGUUUACAACUCCCAAACCCCUGUGAACAUACCUAUACGUUGCCUCGGCGGAUCAGCCCGCGCCCCGUAAAACGGGACGGCCCGCCCGAGGACACCUAAACUCUGUUUUUAGUGGAACUUCUGAGUAAAACAAACAAAUAAAUCAAAACUUUCAACAACGGAUCUCUUGGUUCUGGCAUCGAUGAAGAACGCAGCAAAAUGCGAUAAGUAAUGUGAAUUGCAGAAUUCAGUGAAUCAUCGAAUCUUUGAACGCACAUUGCGCCCGCCAGUAUUCUGGCGGGCAUGCCUGUUCGAGCGUCAUUUCAACCCUCAAGCUCAGCUUGGUGUUGGGACUCGCGGUAACCCGCGUUCCCCAAAUCGAUUGGCGGUCACGUCGAGCUUCCAUAGCGUAGUAAUCAUACACCUCGUUACUGGUAAUCGUCGCGGCCACGCCGUAAAACCCCAACUUCUGAAUGUUGACCUCGGAUCAGGUAGGAAUACCCGCUGAACUUAAGCAUAUCAAUAAGCGGAGGA
rnacentral:rRNA from 2 species